rnacentral:lncRNA from 1 species
UAUGACAUUUGCAUUGUUAUUCUCACUUGACCAGAUCUCAGUGGCGCGUGGGGCUCCUUGGCCAUGUAUUUACCCUCUGAGAGCAAUUCUGGGAGGAAGCCGUGUCAACACCGGGGCGAGAUCAGCGUGGCCUAUUUCCUCAUUUAAUUCCAUGUUGCCGAGGAUCUGAAUCAACCUUGAGUCGUCCCUGAGUUCAUUCCCAUUGUCUGAAACAUGGCGGCUUUCCUCCUCUGGGAGCAUCAACUUUGCCUGGCCAGGGUGCAGCCUGCAUAAAUUGGCCAUUUCUGCAGGUAAGAGAUAAGGACAACAAAGGGAAACUAAUUAUCAUUCAGUCUAUGUUAAAACCUCAGGAAAGGAGUGCUAUUGACAACUGUGUCUGCAUUGUCACAGUCGUACCAUUUAAUAUGACCUGAACCCUGAACGCUGGGCGAGUCCAUAUCCAUAAUAAAUAGGCCACAUCCCCACGUGUGGCUUUGGUUUCCUUGUGGCUGUAAACUGGGGAUGACUUUCACUAAUGAGGCCCGCGCACCUGCCCUGAAAUGAAUUACAAUCUCUGCCGCGUUGCUGGCAGUAACACACACGGACGCACGCGUCAGUCGUUUCAUCACCAAUUGAUUCCUACACCAGUGCACAACACAAACCGUACCUGUUGUGUUUCCACAGAGGCUGCAGGUGCACUGCUGUACAUUACAGGUGAGAUCAAGCCGUUUGUCGUGCCGUGUUUGCGCCCAUUGCUGCCUGACCUGCACCUCCGGCGCGUGGGAACGAGCUCCGGCGCCAGCUGCUGAAUUUCGCCGCCGAGCGAGCGCCGCAGCUCCACAAAACGGGGACAAGUUUCUCACAGAGCGCCAUAUUGUGUAAACAUGUCGCUCACAUACAGCAAAUACAAUGUACAGCAGGGUGAGCACGCAGCCACGCAAGCGUUUAUGGAUGUUAUCCAGGACUAAUUAACGUGUUUGCAUCACAACAGCAGCCAAACUUAAGACUGUCAAUACUAAAACUAUACAUUUGAGCAUGGGCAUAUUCUGUGUUGUUGUUGUGUGGUGUUUUAGUAACAUGUUCCUAUUAUAUUUCGACUGGCAUGUAACAAUGAAUCAUUUCCCCACAUGUUGGGAAUGUACAGUAUACUAUGAGGCUUAUUUUGAUGACAUACUAUAAAUUAUAUUAUAAUAUAAUUUUUUCCUUAUGGAAAAGUAGUUGACUGGUUCCGUGGCUCAGCGUUUAGGCUUUUACGGCAUCAAAUCCCAAGUACUUUACUACUGCAUGACAUUUUUACCACAUACAAUACUAAGGCUUAUUUUUGAUUGAAUCCUAUAUUAUGACCCUAUACUAAGGGUUAUAUUUGAUGAUAUACUUUACUGUAAUACAUUUUUGACAACAUACCUGUACUCUACUAUGACACUUGUUUCACCACAUACUGUACUGUUACUCUUUUAUCACCACAUUCUAUUCUAGGCAUAUUUUUGACAGCAUAUUGCAAUAUAAUCUCUUUUUUACCCCAAUAUAUCAUGAUCAGACAUGCUACAGAGGUGGUAAGCUACAGUAGCUGACUAUAGCUGUGCCUCACUAUUUUGACUAUUGCACUCUGUAUUCAGGAUCCUUAGUUCAAACCCACCAUGGGUGUAGGUUGUAGAUGGAGGUGUCCAUCAAAUCUGAGUUGUUGUUUUUUCACAUACUUUGACACUUUUUUGCCACCUAACUGCAUUUGUAUGACAUCAUAUUCUAAUAUGAGACUUUUUUUUAAACCUCAAAUGCAUUAAUCAGCCAUGCCACAGAGUUGGUAUGAUCAAGGCUCUCUGGUCCUUUGGUUGAAUGGUUACACAGUUGCACUUUGUAGUCAGGCUCCUGGAUUCAGAUCCUUCCAUGGGUUUAUGUUUAGCUUUAAGGGGAGCAGUUGGAUAUUUUGGUUGGUAUAAAUUGGUGUAGAGGUGUUUUAACCACAAGGUUGGCAGUUCGAGCCCCCGCCAUGGUUGGUUUGCUUUUUUCAGCACAUACGUCAAAAACAAGCCUUAGCAUGGUUUGUCAUCAAAAAUCAUGUCAUGGUACAGCAUGUCAUCAACAAAAGUCAUAGUUUUUUCAUCAAGUACUAUCUUAUAGUACUGUACAGUAUGUCAACAACAAAAAAAACAUAGUGUAGUUUGUAGUGCAGUGUCAUAGUAUAGUACAGUAUGUGGUGAAAAUAUGCCUGUGUGAUUUAACCUGGGAUCCUGACUGCUAGAUGCUAUAUUCUAAUGAUUUCCAACCAACUUUGUGGAAUGCGUUAAUGGUUCACUGUCCGAAACAUGCCUUAGACUAGUAUGUGAUGGAAGAAGAUAGUAUAGUAUAUGUUGAAUAAAGCAUACAUUGAGAACCUAUCA